ACUUGCAGGUUUAUCAAUGCGAGGAGACGGAUAGUACAGCCGAUGAUCGACCAAUCAAAUCGAGCAGUUCCAGGGAUGUCAGGUGGCAUGGCAUACAGUCCUGACGGUCAGCCUAUGGGUGGAUUCAUGAUGGACGGUCAACCAGGACCCCCCAUGCACCAUCACCUUCGACCUCCGGGGUCAAACGAUUGUGACCCCAGACAGCAUCUUUACUGAGUAGAUGUAGAUAGAGAUAGAUGAUGCACACGCCUCAUAGCUAUGAAUAUAAAACAAGCAGCUCUCUAUGAUUGGACGCAGAGGGCCGUCAUGUGAUUUGGAUGGCCUUCACUGAUUGGCUGAGCUGCACUUCAUUUCAACUCUACCUCUCUACUGCAUAUCUCCCCCAUCCCCUCUACAUACACUGUGAUAGUCUAACGCACUGUCAUAUUCUUGGUCGCUACUGGCAGUGGUAAUCACCCUCAGCACCCUUUCUUCGUUGUCAAUAAAAGGAGAUAGACUUCCUCUUGAUGAUAUCUUCAAAGACUCCUAGAAUUCCAGAUGAUACCUAUUCCUAGAUGCAACUGCAAUCAUGACCUGAUGACCUCAAAGUCACAAUAGGUGUCAGGAAAAUGGCCAUCAUUGAAGAUGAAACUGACCCUCUUUGGUGCUCGGAAUUGGACUCACAGAGCAAGAGCCAUGAGCAAAAGAUGUCAGCUGCGGUUAUUGCAGAUGUUCCGGCAUCAGGAGACCAGCCAUCGACAUGUGUUUUGUUAGAGUUUUAACAAGGACACUCUGGAAGUGGUCUUUGGUCAGGGUAUCAGUCUCAUGUUAAUGAUGUCAACCAGAAGAUGCAGAAACAACAGUUUCAGAAAACAUAUCAUCCUUUGGACGUUCUUGCAGUGGUCUUUUGGUCAAGGUAUCUUUCUGAUGUUGAUGACAAACAGAGAAGGCAGAGACUGCAGCUUCUUUCACAAAAUAGAUCAUGUGGACGUUCUGACAGCAGCCUCAUGGUCAGGGUAUCUCUCAGACCUGGAUACCAACCAGAAGAGGCAGAGACAGCAGUUUAUUUCAGAAAAUGAUCUCUCCCAUGGUACAAAGAAAUGUCUGAGAUUCACUCAGACUCCUCACUGGUUGUAAUGGUCCUUCUUCUCUCCAGAAACCUCUCUUGAAGACAUUGGCAUAUCUAUUAUGGCCAUGCCAAAUCUGUCUGUUUCCAGCAACAUAAAUCACUAAUUGACCGUUAUGGAUGUGUACCAGUAUUUGUGUUACAGUGUAGCAUGUUACAGAAGCAAAUCAUUCAAAGAAAAAUUCCAACAUCCCAAAAGAGGUUUCCAAGAAAACAGAGCUUGAUCUAUCCCCCUAAUCCACCAGUUGUAUUGUACAUAUGUAAAUCAGACUGGAUUGAAUUUGAACUUUAAAAAAAUCCUUAAUUACAUUGAUAGCCGAUUAAGUAUGAAAAGGAGGUUUUAAAAUGAAAUCACUGUGCCAAAUACUUGUGGAAUGCAAAAGAAAAUACCAAAAUUAUAUAUUUGUGAAAUCUGUGGAGUAGUAUGAAAAUCUCAUUACAGAGAUAAACAGGAAAAGCAUAGGUCUAACUGCCACUAGUUAUAUAUUAUACAUAGAAUUGUAUAGUGCAAACGUGGGCACACCGAUUUCAAGUUAGACUGAAUCCUUGGUAGAUUUAAUAGAAAAAUGGUCAACAUUUUGUCAUAGUUUGUCUCAAAGUGUCUUGAAAUUAUGAUCAACACUGAAUUUUGUUUAUUCCUUCUGGUUUUUAAGUAUUACUUUGAAUUUUCAAAACACUGUUGAUUCUUCAUAAUGUGCUGCAUUCUCUAGCUACUUUCAAUGUGAUGUUCCAUUGCCAGUGAGUGCUUCAGAUAUUGAUUUUAAAAUGAGUGCUUAAGUAAUUGAUUUAAAAUCAUAAAAAUAGGCAAAGAACCUUUGUUUUAUAGAUAGAAACAAUAUAGCUGACAUACAGCAAUGAUACAAAGCCUGAAAUUAAUUCCAGGGUCCAGUACUGGCACAAAGGUUUGCCAUGGAUUGCAAAAUAUGAAAGAGGAAUUCUGAUUGGUUCCUGGUCACUGUCAUGAUAUAAAUGUGUUCCCAACAGUGAUCCUGAUUGGCUAUUGUUGUUAGACUAUUCAUUGCAUACCUUUAUGUUAUUACAUGGAGCCCAGAUACUUUUGUCCAGUGAUGUUGUGUUCUUUGUUAACUGUAGUCAGGUUCUUUGUGGGGAUAGGGAUGGAGACUUGGGGAGUGUUUCAAGAAGCAAAUAGUCACUGACUACCGUUAUAAGCUACUGAAAUCCUUGCAUCUGAUUGGCUGAGUGCAAAUUAGUCAGUGGAAAUCACUGGCGAAAUCUCUUCAUGAAAUACUCCCUUGGGGAGUAUUCCUUGAAGCAUCUUUUCAUUAAUUUUUCACUAACUUGCUCUGAGCCAAUCAGAUGCAAGGAUAUCAGUAGCUUAUAACAAAAAAUCAGUGAAUAUCACUGACUAUAUGUUUAAUGAAAAUGCUCUCCAAAUUAAAGGUCACUGGUAUCCAUUUUUGUGUGUGUGUGCUUCUUUUUUUAUGAGAUAUUGGUAAAGCCACUCUUGGCUAUAUGCGAUGUUGUAAUGCAACAAUACGUUAUUUAAGUGACAGGUUUUUAUAAUUAAAGGUUUGUUGAAAAUGUAAUCAAUUAUCUUGGGAUUAAGGAUGAUUUGGUCUUGAGUUUCUAAUAGUCCCCCACCUCCACACUUUUAUUAAAAAUUUUCUUUUAGUGGCCAGUGAUAUUAUCAGGCAGGUCUUAUUCUCUCUCAUUUAUAUUCAAUUUUUUUUCUUCAAAUUUUACUGCUCUGUUUCCAUUCAGUUUUAUUUUUCAUAGGGCAUGAAAAUGUAUUUCCCAAUCUUUAUAUUACAUUUUAUGAGUGUCCUAGUUGUUUUGCGGUAUAGCUAUCUUUCCCAUCCCUAUUUAUGUAUUUUGUUUGAAAAAUACAAAGGCUGAAACCGUAAUACUCAGAGAAAAGAUUGAGGAAUUCACUGUCACACUUCUAUUUAUUAAUUUUCUCAUCAUUGUGUACCUAGCACGUGAAAAUGUUUAUAUUUUAGUCUUUGAUAUUUAAGUUAAGUUGGGUUUUUCCAAGUUCUUUGAGUAUUUCAUUAAUUUUCCAAUUUAUAAGCAAUCAUUUCUUUCUCUCUAUAUCAUGUCUCAUCUCUUACGUACACCAAGCACAAUUGGGCCUCUUUCAUGAAAUGUGUUGUAAAAUUCUAAAAAAAAGUCCUAAAAUUUGUCUCAAAAAAUAUUUUUCUGGUACCUGUGUUAAGUUGUAUAAUCAAUCUAAUGUGGCCUUGCAAGAAAGCUGUGAUAAAUUACAAAUCUUUUUGGGGUUCUAAGUAAUUUUGUAUGUUUUGCGAUUAAUUAAACAGUUGCAAUCGAUUGUUGCAACAAGGAAUGUAAAUUAAUUUUAUUCCAACAAUAACUGAUCUGUCACUUUUAAAAUUGUAGUAAAAAUUUAUUAAUAAAUAUUUCAUUUCAACA